UCUACUGAGGUACAGUGAAAAGCUUUGUUUUUGCAUGUUAUCAGAUAUACCAUUCAUUUAGAUGCUAUCAGUUCAAACACAUUCAAUAGAUAGAGCAAUGGGGAAGAUACAGUGUGCAUAAUAUAGCUCUUGGCAUUGCAGAGCAUCAGUUCCACAGACAAAUCCCACAGGUAUGUCGUCAAUGGGGAAGAGGUGAAUCAGACAGUAUCCUAGCUUAUGGAAGGGCCGUUCAGAAGACUGAUAAUAGAGGGGAAAAAGCUGUUCCAGAGUCUGGUGAUGUGUGCGUUCAAGCUUCUGUACCUUUUGCCAGACGGGAACGAGGAGAAGAAGGACUAACUGGGGUGGGACGUCUUUGAUGAUGUUGGCUGCUUUCUCGAGGCAGCUCGAAUUAAUCAAACAGCACUAAGUUAUCAUACUUAUAGAAAAGGUACAUAUUGUAAAUGAACUAUUUCUAAAAUUACAUUUUAAACUCCUACUUGAUUGUUCUGCUCAGUGAUAGAUUUUGUGCAUGGUGAUAUGGAAACAAGUUUGAACAGAGAUGUGAGCUGAGUGUACUUUCUGCCUCCAUUAUCCAGUACAAUAGAGUAAAGGGGGAGAUACAGAGUGCAGAAUAUGGUGCUCACCUGUGCAGAGGAUCAGCUCCAUAGACAAAGUCCAAUGCCCUCAAUGGGGUAGAGAUGAAUGGAUACCCUAGCUUAUGGAACGGCCGUUAGUUCAGCCCCUGCAUCACCAGGAAGUUACUUUGCCAACAGUUACAUUUGCUCACAUUUCCUCAUUUUGAGUUGGGCAGGACUGGAGAGAAUUACCGUUAAUUAAUUCUCUCAAUUUGUGGUUCUCAAACCGCUUUGAGUGGCCAGUUUAUUACUGGAUUGGCCCUGGGUUUAUGAAGACGGGGGUCAGAUACAGUUAAAUUGAAGUGGAAAGUCAUGACUUAGUCCACCCCCCCUGCAUGUUACUUGAAAACAUACUGUGCUUUGAGAAACUAUUGUAUUAAGAAAGAGUUUCUUUCCUGAGUGACAGUGAUCAAGCAGUGAGAUUUAAUUAGCAAGACCAAGCGAAGACUAGGCGACCAUAUUUUGCCUUAACGUUUGCGUUUUGUCCGCCAUUUAACUCCCCUUCUCAUUCCCAUGCUGACAUUUCUGUCCUUGAUUCCCUUCAUUGCCCGAGUGAGGCCACAUACAAACGUGAGGUACAGCACCUCAUAUUCCGCUUACAACGGUAUGAACGUUGAAUUUAUCAAGUAAUACCCCUCUCUUUUCCGUCCCCCUUCCAUCCCAGUGUGCGCCCAGCCCCCUUGCUCCUUUCCCAUCCUCCAUACACUCAUCUCCCACCCCUCUGUUACUUACUUCACACCAUCUCCUAAUCAACCCCCCUCACCCAUACUGUCCCGCUGAGUUAAUCCAGCAUUUUGUUUCUACCCCUCUCACCUAUAUCCAUCCACGCUUUGCCCACCCCAAACUCUCCCAGCUUUCUACCAGUAGUUUGAUGAAGGAUCCCGAUCCGAAAUGCCAUCUGUGUAUUCCCCCCCCCCCCCCCCCCCCCGUAAAUGCUGCCCGAUAUACUGAGUUCCUCCAGCAGUUUGCGGUUUGCUCAAGAUUUGAGCACAUGCAGUUCCGUGUGUCUUUCCAUUUUAUCUACAUUUAGUUAAUGUAAGUUAGGAACAUCGUGAGAUAUUGUGUCGGUGGUUUACACAUGUCAUGUUUGGUUGUAGCUAACACUUUGCGGAACAUGUCCGCUUAUAGAGAGAUUAUUGUACAUAGGAUAAAAAAAUAUACUAUUGAAAUCAUGACUGAAGAUCUAAAUCUGGAGAAGCUAAAAAUGGUGUCUUGCAAUUAUUAAUAAGGGACAAUGCAGCAUUUGGGCAACUAACCAGAAAUGUUCAUUCCUAAAACUUGGAGUCACUGAAACCACCUUCCCAUUCCCAUUCCAAACUCUUAUCUGGGCAGAUGCUGGUUUACACCGAAGAUAGACACAAAUUGCUGGAGUAACUUAGGGAGGCAGGGUCUUGAGCCGAAAUGUCGGCCAUUCCUUUUAUCCAGAGACGCUGCCUGCCCGCUGAGUUACUCCAGCAUUUUUUUGUCUUUUCCUUUUCUCCCCUACGUAGUUAACAGAAAAUGCGGGAAGUGACAGCAAAUGGACACAUUGUUUAUCAGACCCACAUGACUUAGAAACUGAUCUGAAAGAAGGUAAGACUACUCAGCAGAUGGCCCAAGUAGUCAUGGGCCACAUCUGCAGCCAACACUGUGAUCAAAACAUAUUGUGGCGUGCAAAUUACAACUGUUCCCAUUGUCACCGCUCUCCACAUCCUUUCCACAUCCACUCUAUCUAUGCCUUUCAUUAUUCUGUAAGUUUCAAUUAAGUCCCUCCUCAACUUUCUAAACUCCAGCGAGUAGAUGACGCAAGAUCAUCUGGUGACACUGUAGAAAGCCUGCAGCCUGCCAGGUUAAUUCCAUAAAUCUCUUCUACUUAGGGAAAUAAACUGCUAGUGCCUUAGGCAGCUGGGUUAGGCAAUUGCUGCCUUCAGUGGGGAUGUGGAUCUAGAAAUUCCUCAUUGAUUUGAAAAGUGCAUUCAACUAAACUUAUCGCAGUACACCACAGAAACAGGCCCUUUCUGCCCACUUCAUCCAUGCCGACCACAAUGCCUAUCUGUGGCAAGACUAUUUGCCAUUUUAGGCCCAUAAUCCUCAAUACCUUUU